rnacentral:rRNA from 1 species
AUUGAACGCUAGCGGGAUGCUUUACACAUGCAAGUCGAACGGCAGCGCGGACUUCGGUCUGGCGGCGAGUGGCGAACGGGUGAGUAAUGUAUCGGAACGUGCCCAGUAGCGGGGGAUAACUACGCGAAAGCGUAGCUAAUACCGCAUACGCCCUACGGGGGAAAGCAGGGGAUCGUAAGACCUUGCACUAUUGGAGCGGCCGAUAUCGGAUUAGCUAGUUGGUGAGGUAACGGCUCACCAAGGCGACGAUCCGUAGCUGGUUUGAGAGGACGACCAGCCAACAUGGGGACUGAGACCGGCCCAGACUCCUACGGGAGGCAGCAGUGGGGAAUUUUGGACAAUGGGGGCAACCCUGAUCCAGCCAUCCCGCGUGUGCGAUGAAGGCCUUCGGGUUGUAAAGCACUUUUGGCAGGAAAGAAACGUCGCGGGCUAAUACCCCGUGGAACUGACGGUACCUGCAGAAUAAGCACCGGCUAACUACGUG